AGCGAACGCUGGCGGCAGGCCUAACACAUGCAAGUCGAACGGACCCUUCGGGGUUAGUGGCGGACGGGUGAGUAACACGUGGGAACGUGCCUUUAGGUUCGGAAUAGCUCCUGGAAACGGGUGGUAAUGCCGAAUGUGCCCUUCGGGGGAAAGAUUUAUCGCCUUUAGAGCGGCCCGCGUCUGAUUAGCUAGUUGGUGAGGUAACGGCUCACCAAGGCGACAAUCAGUAGCUGGUCUGAGAGGAUGACCAGCCACACUGGGACUGAGACACGGCCCAGACUCCUACGGGAGGCAGCAGUGGGGAAUCUUGCGCAAUGGGCGAAAGCCUGACGCAGCCAUGCCGCGUGAAUGAUGAAGGUCUUAGGAUUGUAAAAUUCUUUCACCGGGGACGAUAAUGACGGUACCCGGAGAAGAAGCCCCGGCUAACUUCGUG
rnacentral:rRNA from 1 species